UAAUAACUUACACUAACUCAAUUCGAAACAGAGAAAAGAGAGGAGAUUCAAGACCCACAAGCAGAAGCUCCAAUGGCAGAACCAAAGCAAGAGCUGAAACACCUCUCAGGACAUCACGCUGAGAAAUCACCACAUCAUGACAAAGAAACGCAUGGAACGUGUAAUGAAAUUGAUGAAAACACCCCAAUUGAGGAAGUGAAAGGACCAAAUGUGUGUGAAAGGGUGAAGGAAGAAGUCGAAGCCAUUGUGCAGGCGAUAAUUCACAAAGAUUCCAGUAGCCAUGACUCUUCUUCUAAGUGAGAGAGGUUGGUUGAUUGAGCAUCAGUUGUAUGCAACUAUAGCUAAAUGAGAAGUUAAUAUUGUAUUUUCGACCUUUUGUGUAACUUCUUUGAUUGGAAUGUUUGUUGAA